rnacentral:rRNA from 1 species
GACGAACGCUGGCGGCGUGCUAACACAUGCAAGUCGAGCGAUGAAGCUCCUUCGGGAGUGGAUUAGCGGCGGACGGGUGAGUAACACGUGGGUAACCUGCCUCAUAGAGGGGAAUAGCCUUUCGAAAGGAAGAUUAAUACCGCAUCAGAUUGUAGCUUCGCAUGAAGCAGCAAUUAAAGGAGUAAUCCGCUAUGAGAUGGACCCGCGUCGCAUUAGCUAGUUGGUGAGGUAACGGCUCACCAAGGCGACGAGGCGUAGCCGACCUGAGAGGGUGAUCGGCCACAUUGGGACUACGACACGGCCCAGGCGCCUACGGGAGGCAGCAGUGGGGAGUAUUGCACAAUGGGGGAAACCCUGAUGCAGCAACGCCGCGUGAGUGAUGACGGUCUUCGGAUUGUAAAGCUCUGUCUUCAGGGACGAUAAUGACGGUACCUGAGGAGGAAGCCACGGCUAACUACGUGCCAGCCGCCGCCGUAA